rnacentral:rRNA from 1 species
AUACGGAGGGGACUAGCGUUGUUCGGAAUUACUGGGCGUAAAGAGUUCGUAGGCGGACUGAUAAGUAAGAGGUGAAAUCCCAGGGCUCAACCCUGGAACUGCCUUUUAAACUGUCAGUCUAGAGACCGGAAGAGGUUAGGGGAAUACCUAGUGUAGAGGUGAAAUUCGUAGAUAUUAGGUGGAACACCAGUGGCGAAGGCGCCUAACUGGUCCGGUACUGACGCUGAGGAACGAAAGCGUGGGAGCAAACAGGAUUAGAAACCCUAGUAGUCC